rnacentral:misc_RNA from 1 species
AAGGAAAGCAAAAGCCCUUUAGUAUAGUUGUAGCUAUGGGUUUCGGUAGAUUACUUAUGCUCCUUGUUCUUGCUGGGGUGCUUGUAGCACCGGCAACAGCUCAAGCCAAGCCCAACUGCCCAGACCGUUGUGGGCAUAUAAGCAUUCCAUAUCCCUUUGGCCUAAAUCAUCAUUGUAGCCUAAACAAACAGUUCCUCAUCACUUGCAACAACACCAAUUCUACACCUCCACGAGAAAAAGCUUUUUUGGGGAAUUCGAGUAUUAAGGUUACAAACAUUAGCAUCGAUGGUGAAUUGCAAAUCAGGAGCGAAAUAUCCCGACGUUGCUAUGAUAAAUUGUCCGGCAAUGUGUACUGGGAAACAAAUUGGUUGCGUUUGUCAAAGUUCAGAAUUUCCAAAUUGAAAAACAAGUUCACUGUCGUGGGCUGUGAUAGCUAUGCAUACCUCCGGGGCUUGCGAGAAGGGAAAGCUUACAGAGCCGGAUGCAUGUCGACCUGCGACUCCUUCGAUUCUGUGUAUAACAAGUCUUGCGCAGGUAGUGGAUGUUGCCAGAUGGAGAUUCCUGAUGGACUAUACUAUGCAAAUGUCACGGCCUACAGUUUCGACAGCCAUAAAAAGGUGCAAGAAUUCAAUCCCUGCACCUAUGCCUUCGUUGUAGAAGAUGACAAAUUCGACUUCUCUUCUGAAUAUCUAAAGAAUAUCCCAGAAGAUACGGAGUUCACGAUGGUGCUUGACUGGUCAAUUGAUAACAAUACACUAAGCACUCUGUGCAAGGAUAAUGCCGAGAGUUAUCAACCAGACAACGUUUCUGGAUAUCGAUGCCGAUGCAAGAAAGGCUAUAAAGGGAAUCCAUAUCUUGGUUGCCGAGACACCAACGAAUGCAACCAUCCAAAUAACUGCUCACAUAUAUGCAUUGAUUUGGAGGGAAGUUAUAGAUGCGAUUGCCCGAAGGGAUACUAUGGGGAUGGGAGAAAAGAUGGACAAAGUUGCACAGCUUCUCAAUUUCCACUUAAUAAGAUAAUUAUUGGUGUUGGCAUAGGCUUUAUAGUCCUGUUUGUUGCUAGCUCUUGGCUUUACUUGGUUUUAAAGCAGAGAAAGCUCAUCAAACUUAAAGAGAAAUUCUUCAGGGAAAAUGGCGGGUUUAUCUUGCGACAGAAAUUCUCUGGACAACAAGGAAACCCUGAUAUGGCUAAAAUCUUUACGGAUGAUGAGUUGAAGAAGGCCACCAACAAUUAUGAUGAGAGCACCAUCGUGGGGAAAGGAGGCUUUGGCACUGUUUAUAAGGGAAUUUUAGCUGACAACAGAGAAGUUGCCAUCAAGAAGUCAAUAUCUGUUGAUCAAAACCAAAUCGAACAAUUCAUUAAUGAGGUGGUGGUGCUGUCCCAAAUUAACCACAGGAAUGUGGUCAAGCUCUUGGGUUGUUGUCUAGAGACUCAAGUCCCUCUGCUAGUUUAUGAAUUCAUCUCCAACGGUACGGUCUUUGAUUACGUGCAUGACCAAAGAAAUGCAUCAGCUUUCUCUUGGGACAUCCGUCUGAGGAUAGCAGCAGAAACUGCAGGAGCUCUAUCUUAUUUGCAUUCUGCAGCUUCUGUACCAAUCAUCCAUAGAGAUGUGAAGACUACUAACAUCCUCUUAGAUGCUAAAUACACUGCAAAAGUGUCUGAUUUUGGAGCUUCAAGGUUGGUUCCACU